UACGUAGGAGGCGAGCGUUGCUCGGAAUCACUGGGCGUAAAGCGCACGUAGGCGGCUUUCUAAGUCAGGGGUGAAAUCCUGGAGCUCAACUCCAGAACUGCCUUUGAUACUGGAGAGCUAGAGUCCGGAAGAGGUGAGUGGAACUGCGAGUGUAGAGGUGAAAUUCGUAGAUAUUCGCAAGAACACCAGUGGCGAAGGCAGCUCGCUGGGACGGUACUGACGCUGAGGCGCGAAAGCGUGGGGAGCAAACAGG
rnacentral:rRNA from 1 species